CCUCGUGAGAUUAAAUACUCAAGAAACCAAACCCUUGUUUCAUCCCUUUUAUCUCUCCUGGUGGCUCUCACCCCCUCCUCGUGUGAUUAUCUCUCUCACCUGCGUUGCCACUUCGCCGGAGCCAUCUCGGAGCCACUUCGCUGGAGCCAUCUCGGAGCCACUUCGCCUGCGUUGCUCGUGUUCUGCUUAUCGGUCGCCACUGCUCUACUGUCGACAUAAAUGAACAAAUGGAACACCACGUUCAAGAAAAUUAGUUACUUGUAGGAAGGCAUGGAAGCACUUUAGACGGAGAGUGAUUUAUUGGAGCAUUUUACAUGUAGAAAUUCUCUUGAAGAGAAUUGAGAAACCAUAAAUUUUAUAUAGUUUUUUAGUUAAUAGACUUUUGUAAUAAUGUAUUUCGUAAAUUUGUUCACGAGCUCAUGAUUAUUGUAUACACAUUUCCUCUUUAGUGUAUAAAAUUUCAAAAUAAAUUUAUGAAUAUAUAAUUUUAUGUACA